AUGGAGGAGCUCGCGACUGAUUAGCUAGUUGGUGGGGUAAGAGCUUACCAAGGCGACGAUCAGUAGCUGGUCUGAGAGGAUGAUCAGCCACACUGGGACUGAGACACGGCCCAGACUCCUACGGGAGGCAGCAGUGGGGAAUUUUCCGCAAUGGGGGCAACCCUGACGGAGCAACGCCGCGUGAGGGAAGAAUGGUUGUGGCCAGUAAACCUCUUUUAAUAGGGAAGAAUUCUGACGGUACCUAUUGAAUAAGCAUCGGCUAACUCCGUGCCAGCAGCCGCGGUAAUACGGAGGAUGCAAGCGUUAUCCGGAAUUAUUGGGCGUAAAGCGUCCGCAGGUGGUUAGUCAAGUCAGCUGUAAAAGACUCAGGCUUAACUUGGGAUGUGCAGUUGAAACUGAUUGACUAGAGUACGGUAGGGGUAGAGGGAAUUCCUAGUGUAGCGGUGAAAUGCGUAGAUAUUAGGAAGAACACCAGUGGCGAAGGCGCUCUACUGGGCCUGUACUGACACUGAGGGACGAAAGCUAGGGGAGCGAAAGGGAUUA
rnacentral:rRNA from 1 species